CCCUCUUGCAUCUUCUUUGGAUAUUUUAAAAAUAGAAAAUGGUUUUUACUCUCCUUCUUCCUAUCCCCAGUGGAAGCCCUUAGGCUCUCUGGACAAUGCCCAGCCAAGAAUUUCCACUAGCAGCAGUAUAAAUCCAUUUACACUCACAUCAGAGGCACCUCUGCACUUCCAGAGUGAUGGGAGAUCAAGGUAAGUGA